rnacentral:rRNA from 1 species
AGCAGCCGCGGUAAUUCCAGCUCCAAUAGCGUAUAUUAAAGUUGUUGCAGUUAAAAAGCUCGUAGUUGAACUUCGGGGUUUACCCAUUGGUCAGGCUUAAUUGUCUGUACUGGUGAGAUAAAUCUCUACCUUCUGAGGAACUUUCACGUCAUUAAUUUGGUGUGAUUGGAAAUCAGGACUGUUACUUUGAAAAAAUUAGAGUGUUUAAAGCAGGCUAACGUCUGAAUACAUUAGCAUGGAAUAAUGAAAUAGGACGGCUUGAUUCUAUUUCGUUGGUUUCUAGGAUCACCGUAAUGAUUAAUAGGGAUAGUUGGGGGCAUUAGUAUUCAAUUGUCAGAAGUGAAAUUCUUGGAUUUAUUGAAGACUAACUACUGCGAAAGCAUUUGCCAAGGGUAGUUUUCAUUAAUCAAGAACGAAAGUUAGGGGAUCGAAGACGAUCAGAUACCGUCGUAGUCUUAACCAUA